rnacentral:rRNA from 1 species
CGUGUGUAAGCGCUUGGUGUCGGGGCCAUCCUUUCAAUCGCCUAUCGGCUCUUCUUCAUUGAUUGGUCAGUAGUAUUGGAUCUUUUACUUAGAAAAAAUUAGAGUGUUAACGGCCGGCUUUAUGCUAUGAAUACAUUAGCAUGAAAUAAUAAUUUAGGACUUUUACUCUAUUUUGUUGGUUUCUAGGACUGAAGUGAAUGAUUGAUUAAGAUAGUUGGGGGACCUAGUAUUCAGCGGCCAGAGGUGAAAUUCUCGGAUUCGCUGAAGACAAACUUAUGCGAAAGCAUUCACCAAGGAUGUCUUCUUUAAUCAAGAACGAAAGUUGGGGGAUCGAAGACGAUCAGAUACCGUCGUAGUCUCAACCAUAAACUAUGCCGACUAGGGAUGAGUGAACGUUGCAUUUUCGACUUCAUUCGCACCUUAUGAGAAAUCAAAGCCUUUGGGUCCCCGGGGG